GAGGUUGUGGCUCCAUGGUACAGCGCGCGCCUCGCACAUGUGAGGCACUGGGUUCGAUCCUCAGCACCACA
rnacentral:tRNA from 1 species